GAUUUCUGGUUAGGCGCAUUUGGCCCGCUUCGGUUACGAGGUUGAGUGCCGUUUUGCGCCUGCCAUCCUUCUAGAGUACGACUCUCCCUUUACUGGGUUGGGCCGGAAUCUAGAUCAUUUACUUUGAAAAAAUUAGAGUGUUUAAAGCAGGCUUACGCUAUGAAUACAUUAGCAUGGAAUAAUAAUUUAGGACUUUGGUCUUAUUUUGUUGGUUUCUAGGACUAAAGUAAUGAUUGAUAGGGAUAGUUGGGGGUGCUAGUAUUCAGCGGCCAGAGGUGAAAUUCUUGGAUUCGCUGAAGACUAACUUAUGCGAAAGCAUU
rnacentral:rRNA from 1 species